rnacentral:misc_RNA from 1 species
GUGCAACUUCUUCAUUGCAGGAACCCACAUAUAUCAAGCCCAGUGAGAUUGCAGUGAAUGCAACUACAUCAAGUGGUGCUUUUGCAUCAUUAAGAAUGGGGGACAAUUUACUGCGUAUCUGCUCAUUCUGAGAACCAGCAUAUGCAAUUCCGAGACCCAUUAUUGCCCCAAUUCUGAUGGAUGAAUCUUCUUUAUCUGUAUAAUCAGCGAGAAGAGCCAGUGCAGGAUCACAAUCGUUUUUUAUACCACAGUUGACAAUCCCAACUCCUAGUAGUGCACCAGCAAUAACAUGGUUGUCAUUGCUAUGGAA